GGCACCCAGAUAAACGGUAGCCACCAGCAUGAUGGGUACCAUCCAUUGAAGUAAUUGCUGAUCAGUCAAUUUCAAUUUGUGCGCAGAUUUCACUCGAUAAAAACAGCAACGGAAAAGAGGGAGAGAGAGUCGACCUAAUUUGUGCACGUGUACUCUAAUCCUAUUCAGUGCAUAUCAAAUUAAACAAAUCUAGAGAGUUUUUGUUAACUUACCUCCAUGUUUUCAUUAAAAGAGAACUGAAAGUGAUGCAAAACCCCAUAUGACGAGUCCACUUGGUGGCAACGCAUGCUGGCGUGUUCAGUUCAGGAAAAAUGGCCGCCAUCUGGAAGAAAGAAAACAAAAGACGGAGGGGAUAUUAAAAGAGAUGGAUUGAUUUAAUUCGAAAACAACAAUCUCAACAAGAUGAAUGAGUUGGAAGAAUUGUGGCACAAGAGAGAAGGGGCCUUUGUUUUUCGGAAUAUUGAAUUACUUGUUACCUCUGCGUACAUAAUGGCGCAGCCGAGCAGUGUGACACACAGAAAUGUAGGGCUGGCCACCUUGAAGACUUUGAGGCGUCGAUACUUGUAAACGGCGCCCAUUAGACCGAUGGAAAUCAAGACCCAAGACAUGGAAAUGGCCAAUAAAGCGAUCCUGUUAUCAAUGCCACGCAGAAAUGAACAAAAUUAAUUCGGUUACUACACGAAAAGAAAGGAAGUUUCAAUGCGGAAGAAACUUGUUUUCUAGUGACGAUACAGGACACGCACGUAUGCCAACGAAGUUGAAUAACGAGUUUUUUCAUCUGAAUGUGCAGAAUGUCUAAACUGCUGGUACGCGAUAUGUAUUCAAGUUUUUCGUGCAUAAUUCAAAGUUUGGCUAAAAAUGGUAUGUCUCUUUUUACAUGCACCGACAUUGACGAGAGCCAUUUCAAAAGGCAUUCCCCUCUAUGUUCAUCUUCAGAUGUUCUUUCGACCCCCAAGAACGAACAAGGUGAAAAUGAGGAGAAGAAAACAAGGGCGGAUACCUUUAAAAAUCACGCACGCCAUCGAAUGAUGGCACAUAUAGCCAUCGUGGAUGGUGUGCGUGACUCAAUGCACGUACCUCAUAAUAUUAGCCACAAAACUUUAACACAACUGUUCAUUUCUCUUGUGUAACUGAUUGUUUUCUCCCUCAGCUGAAGAGGAGAAACGAGUUCCCCAUCUUUUUCUGACUUAUUGGCAGAGGUGCGUCUGUUCCCCGCACGCAGCCAACACAGCACGUGUCCGUGUCUGGAAUCUUAACCUCUAACGAUUGUGUCAAAGUCAUUAGCUGCACCUGGUGGUCGUAUUACAGUACGCCGAUGACAAACAAACUGAUGUCAAUAAUGUCAAGAGGAUUCAAACCUAAAGGGCCAGUCGUAAGGCGCCAAACAUGGCGAAUCAUCGACGCAGACGUCGCAUCCAGCGGAGCAUGGAAGACAUCGGUACAAUUGGUCGUACACUGGGCUGUUGAAGGUCAACUUAUUCCGAAAGGCCACUACGUAUGUAGUGAAGGUAUUUUACAUUCGACGUGGGAUCCGUUGAAAGUGGCAUUUUUCAAAAACGGCGAAUAAUAUCCGGGUAAGCAGGUGCAAGUGUAACCACCUCGUAUCCAGCCGUAACCUCUCUCGAAUCGGCACUACAUAUUCAUCAAUCAAUUAGCUGUUGUCUCAACCGACGACGGCCCGUCGCCGCAUUGGUUGAUGUCCAUCGACGAAACGGACACGUCUACGGAAAUGCGAUUGGACAAAGAAAAUCAUUUCAAGUUUUUCGUUUUCAAACCGGUCGGCAGCUGUGGAAGACGUGGGAGAAACGCUGGUGACCGGAAUGGUGUACGUGAGCAACCAGCGGCGACUGGAACACUGGUAAUACGGAAACGUCCACCAUCCGAGAAAGGUGACAUUCGACGAAUUGAUCAUGAACUUGUUCCAGUUGGCUAGAAAACCUUUCGCCGCUUGCGGAGUCGAACGGAAGGGAUCGUCGAACCACGGCAGAUCGUUCAGCGCCGUGUUGCCCAGCAACACGCUGCCGGAACUGGUGGAUGUCGCCUUUGGCAGCGUUGUCGACUAUGGAUAAGAACGGGCGACCACGGACCUGUUGUUGAAUGGAAGCGUUGAUGGAUGCCGACUGCUGGAUGUAAUCGACUUUGACGGAUGGGUCGGCGUAAGGAGAAGCUGGACGAGUCGCGUGGGCCAUAAAGAGGAGAUUGACGAUAUUGCCUUGUUCGCGAAUGAGACCGUUUGAUUGCGAUGAUGAAGCCGAUGAUGCGAGUGCUGUUGGCUUAGUGAAUGUGACCAUACGUGAAGUUUCGAUUGUCCGCUCGCUCCGCACGGCGCUCGUAAUCAGCAACUUGAGCAAUUCUGAAUAACGGCGGGAGACGCGCAAUUAGUCAAACAACAGCUACUAUGCAAAUUAUGUGGACGCUAAUGCGUUGCGACAUUUUCUUCGCAUGCCGUAAAAGGGUAAGCUUAGCAAAUCGAAUGGUACCUUAUCAAUGACCUACAUUUUCAAUUUUAAAACAAAACCAAGAAAUAAGGCCGGAACGUCGCAGAAUGACCUUCACCAACAUUCAUAUAUUAAAUCGAGUCCAACGUAAACGUCAUUUCGAAAUCACCUUUGGACUUUUCCACAGAAAAAAACAAAAAUACCCUUAAAAUAUGCAGCCAACCGGUUUUCCGUUUGUCUUGGACAGUAAAAAAAAACGAACAAUAGUGUACCGUAUCAGAUGACGUUAAGUUUCCAGUAAUAUG